UGGGGAAUAUUGCGCAAUGGGGGGAACCCUGACGCAGCCAUGCCGCGUGAAUGAAGAAGGCCUUAGGGUUGUAAAGUUCUUUCGGUAUUGAGGAAGGUUGAUGUGUUAAUAGCACAUCAAAUUGACGUUAAAUACAGAAGAAGCACCGGCUAACUCCGCGCCAGCAGCCGCGGUAAUACGGAGGGUGCGAGCGUUAAUCGGAAUAACUGGGCGUAAAGGGCACGCAGGCGGUUAUUUAAGUGAGGUGUGAAAGCCCCGGGCUUAACCUGGGAAUUGCAUUUCAGACUGGGUAACUAGAGUACUUUAGGGAGGGGUAGAAUUCCACGUGUAGCGGUGAAAUGCGUAGAGAUGUGGAGGAAUACCGAAGGCGAAGGCAGCCCCUUGGGAAUGUACUGACGCUCGUGUGCGAAAGCGUGGGGAGCAAACAGGAUUAGAUACCCUGGUAGUCCACGCUGUAAACGCUGUCGAUUUGGGGGUUGGGGUUUAACUCUGGCGCCCGUAGCUAACGUGAUAAAUCGACCGCCUGGGGAGUACGGCCGCAAGGUUA
rnacentral:rRNA from 1 species